CACGCUCUGACCUAAACACCAUAGAGAACCGAGGGCUCUCUAUGGUCAGGGCGUGACAGUUCCAGCAAUCAAAUCUCAGGAAGAAGCUCCCAAUACGAGAGAGGAUGAGGUGAAGAGGGAGUAAGAUCACUAGAAAGCAGCAUGCUGUCAAACCACCACAAGACCCUAGAGGUCACUGCAUGCUGUGACAAGGGCCUGGAGGGUGACACACAUCUGCUUCAAGCUGCAUGCCUGAAUACUGGGGCCUUCAGUAGUACCUUCCCUUUGAUUACAGCAAGAGUCUUCUUAUCUCUGUUUUGUAGCCAUUUAACAUGUAGUGUGUGUAACAACUCAAAUUCAUAGAAACUACUAUGAACACAAGAACUGACUUAUAUUCACUUGUCCCUGGCUGCGUUUGGACUGGCACAGUGGCGACCUGUCAUUCAGGGCAGGUUGGGCAGAGCC